GCGACACGGUGACGUGGGGCGGAUCCCUGAAAACCGGUCUCAGUUCGGAUCGCAGUCUGCAACUCGACUGCGUGAAGGUGGAGUCGCUAGUAAUCGCGGAUCAGCAACGCCGCGGUGAAUGCGUUCCCGGGCCUUGUACACACCGCCCGUCAAGUCAUGAAAGUGGGCAGCACCCGAAGACGGUGGCCUAACCCUUGUGGGGGGAGCCGUCUAAGGUGAGGCUCGUGAUUGGGACUAAGUCGUAACAAGGUAGC
rnacentral:rRNA from 1 species